rnacentral:tRNA from 1 species
GGCCUUAUAUUCAAUCAUGAUUUUAAAUUGCAAGUUUAAAGGUGGGAAAGCCCUAAGGCUU